rnacentral:rRNA from 1 species
AUAUUUAAGUUGUUGCGGUUAAAAAGCUCGUAGUUGGAUCUUGGGCGCAGGCGGCCGGUCCGUCGCAAGGCGUGUACUGGCCGCACCUGGCCUCACCCCCGGCGCUCCGGCUGCCCUUGACUGAGUGUCGGCGGCGGCCGGAACGUUUACUUUGAAAAAAUUAGAGUGUUCAAAGCAGGCGACUCGCCUGAAUAAUGGUGCAUGGAAUAAUGGAAUAGGACCUCGGUUCUAUUUUGUUGGUUUUCGGAGCGCGAGGUAAUGAUUAAGAGGGACGGACGGGGGCAUUCGUACUGUGCCGUUAGAGGUGAAAUUCUUGGAUCGGCGCAAGACGAGCGACUGCGAAAGCAUUUGCCAAGAAUGUUUUCUUUAAUCAAGAGCGAAAGUCAGAGGUUCGAAGACGAUCAGAUACCGUCCUAGUUCUGACUAUAAACGAUGCCAACCAGCGAUCGGGGGGCGUUAGUUUGACGACCUCCCCGGCAGCUUGCGGGAAACCAAAGUCUUUGGGUUCCGGGGGAAGUAUGGUUGCAAAGCUGAAACUUAAAGGAAUUGACGGAAGGGCACCACCAGGCGUGGAGCUGCGGCUUAAUUUGACUCAACACGGGGAAUCUCACCCGGCCCGGACACAGUGAGGAUUGACAGAUUGAGAGCUCUUUCUUGAUUCUGUGGGUGGUGGUGCAUGGCCGUUCUUAGUUGGUGGAGCGAUUUGUCUGGUUAAUUCCGAUAACGAACGAGACUCUGGCUUGCUAACUAGUUACGCGACCCGAUCGGUCGGCGUUUAACUUCUUAGAGGGACUAGUGGCGUUUCGACGAGAUUGAGCAAUAACAGGUCUGUGAUGCCCUUAGAUGUUCGGGGCGCACGCGCGCUACACUGACCGGAUCAGCGUGUGCUCGCCCUUGGCCGAAAGGUCUGGGUAACCCGCUGAACCCCGGUCGUGCUAGGGAUAGGGAAUUGCAAUUGUUUCCCUUGAACGAGGAAUGCCCAGUAAGCGCGAGUCAUCAGCUCGCGUU